AUUUAAAUAGUUUAACUAAAAUAUUGAUUUGUGGUGUCAAAGUUAUAACUUGUGUUAUUUUAGAUC
rnacentral:tRNA from 1 species